GACGAACGCUGGCGGCGUGCCUAAUACAUGCAAGUCGAACGAACUCUGGUAUUGAUUGGUGCUUGCAUCAUGAUUUACAUUUGAGUGAGUGGCGAACUGGUGAGUAACACGUGGGAAACCUGCCCAGAAGCGGGGGAUAACACCUGGAAACAGAUGCUAAUACCGCAUAACAACUUGGACCGCAUGGUCCGAGUUUGAAAGAUGGCUUCGGCUAUCACUUUUGGAUGGUCCCGCGGCGUAUUAGCUAGAUGGUGGGGUAACGGCUCACCAUGGCAAUGAUACGUAGCCGACCUGAGAGGGUAAUCGGCCACAUUGGGACUGAGACACGGCCCAAACUCCUACGGGAGGCAGCAGUAGGGAAUCUUCCACAAUGGACGAAAGUCUGAUGGAGCAACGCCGCGUGAGUGAAGAAGGGUUUCGGCUCGUAAAACUCUGUUGUUAAAGAAGAACAUAUCUGAGAGUAACUGUUCAGGUAUUGACGGUAUUUAACCAGAAAGCCACGGCUAACUACGUGCCAGCAGCCGCGGUAAUACGUAGGUGGCAAGCGUUGUCCGGAUUUAUUGGGCGUAAAGCGAGCGCAGGCGGUUUUUUAAGUCUGAUGUGAAAGCCUUCGGCUCAACCGAAGAAGUGCAUCGGAAACUGGGAAACUUGAGUGCAGAAGAGGACGGUGGAACUCCAUGUGUAGCGGUGAAAUGCGUAGAUAUAUGGAAGAACACCAGUGGCGAAGGCGGCUGUCUGGUCUGUAACUGACGCUGAGGCUCGAAAGUAUGGGUAGCAAACAGGAUUAGAUACCCUGGUAGUCCAUACCGUAAACGAUGAAUGCUAAGUGUUGGAGGGUUUCCGCCCUUCAGUGCUGCAGCUAACGCAUUAAGCAUUCCGCCUGGGGAGUACGGCCGCAAGGCUGAAACUCAAAGGAAUUGACGGGGGCCCGCACAAGCGGUGGAGCAUGUGGUUUAAUUCGAAGCUACGCGAAGAACCUUACCAGGUCUUGACAUACUAUGCAAAUCUAAGAGAUUAGACGUUCCCUUCGGGGACAUGGAUACAGGUGGUGCAUGGUUGUCGUCAGCUCGUGUCGUGAGAUGUUGGGUUAAGUCCCGCAACGAGCGCAACCCUUAUUAUCAGUUGCCAGCAUUAAGUUGGGCACUCUGGUGAGACUGCCGGUGACAAACCGGAGGAAGGUGGGGAUGACGUCAAAUCAUCAUGCCCCUUAUGACCUGGGCUACACACGUGCUACAAUGGAUGGUACAACGAGUUGCGAACUCGCGAGAGUAAGCUAAUCUCUUAAAGCCAUUCUCAGUUCGGAUUGUAGGCUGCAACUCGCCUACAUGAAGUCGGAAUCGCUAGUAAUCGCGGAUCAGCAUGCCGCGGUGAAUACGUUCCCGGGCCUGUACACACCGCCCGUCACACCAUGAGAGUUUGUAACACCCAAAGUCGGUGGGGUAACCUUUUAGGAACCAGCCGCCUAAGGUGGGACAGAUGAUUAGGGUG
rnacentral:rRNA from 1 species